rnacentral:rRNA from 1 species
UACGGGGGGGGCAAGCGUUGUUCGGAAUUACUGGGCGUAAAGGGCUCGUAGGCGGCCAACUAAGUCGGAUGUGAAAUCCCCAGGCUUAACCUGGGAACUGCAUCCGAUACUGGAUGGCUUGAAUCCGGGAGAGGGAUGCAGAAUUCCAGGUGUAGCGGUGAAAUGCGUAGAUAUCAGGAGGAACACCGGUGGCGAAGGCGGUGAUCUGGGCCGACACUGACGCUGUAGAGCGAAAGCGUGGGGAGCGAACAGG